GGGGAUUUAGCUCAGUGGUAGAGCGUUUGCCUAGCAAGUGCAAGACCCUGGGUUCGGUCCCCAGCUCCG
rnacentral:tRNA from 1 species